GAGGAAAGUCCUGACUAUGUGCAGCUCCACAGAGUGACAGGCAUCACUCGCAGUCUCCCACACAGAGGCAGAGGCGAGAGGGAGGCAGCCAGAGGCUACCAUGGGUUGCCGAGGCUGCUGGUGGUGAUUCUCUGCUGGGCUGGUGCGUGAAGCUGAGAUGACAAAAGACAACAUUACGUGAGUUAAUGUGCGUGUCUGCUGGGUGUGGCUGCAGAGAAAGCCCAGUGAGUUAUACUGAAUAACGAGAGAGACAGUGAAAGGGAAGUAUGGAGAAAGGUGCACAGCAACAAACACACAAACUUUCAGAUUUCAUUCAGCAAAAAAAUCUGGCUGCCUGUCUGGAGCUGAACAUCUCCCAAAAGUUCCCAAACUGAGGUCCAGACUUCAGAGGAGGAGAAUCUGAGGAAUGCUCUGACUUUUCUCUUCAUGAUGUGGAGAAAUUGGACAUGAAUGAAUCUUAGUAUCAGGUUCGAUUUCCCUGAAAGACCAUCGUGACCUGGACGUGUAAACACUUUUUAUGGAUACCUACAUCGGCCCAAGAUGUCUCACACAAGUACAUUAAUAGGGAAACACUAUUGCAGAAGACACAACACCAAGCACUAGCCCAAACCAAAACACACAAGCCCCAACAUGAACGCACAAGCCACAACACAAAAGCAGUAGCCCCAACACAAAUGCAAAAGCCAAAACACAAAUGCAAAAAGCCACAAUGAUGCAAAAGCCAAAGCAUCUAUAGUAGAUGGGUAUGGCCACCAUACCUAUCUACUUAAAAUACCCGUAAGCAAUAUUUACCUUCUUCCUGUGAGGUUUGUUGAGGUUUGACCUUGCUGGCCUCCACCCAGUCACUUCCAGUCCUCCCCUCCUCUUCCCUAUCUUCCCUCAGGUCGUUCUGCGUCUCCCUGCUGGUGUCAGAGCCAAGAGAUGUCACCCGUCGCUGAAGGGUAUUCACUUGUGCAAACAUACAGCUGUUUAUUUUAGAUAGAGUUUUCCCAGCUGGGCUCGCGUCAAGGUCCUUAAAGCGGACACGACUCAGAUCAGUGAUCUGUGUUGGAUAAUAUUUUGUCAGGGAUAUCUGUGAGAAUGUUUGUUGUUAGAUUUGAUUCAAACCAGAAGCGGAGCUGUUCUAUAUCUCUUUGGUGCAGUGAGCCUGAACUGGAGUAAUCUGCGUGUGUGUGUGUGUAUGCAAAUGAGGACUAAUCUAAAGGUAAAUUAAAUUUGACUUUUUAAUUCACAUGAAUGUGAGAGCUCAACUUUAUGGAUACACAAGUUAAAAGAAGCAAAUAGAGGAAUUUAGCAUUGAUCAGCUGAAAAAUAUCUGAGUGAAUCAAGUUGUGCUAAAAUAUGGCAAUAACUCAAAAUGAUCAGAUCUUAGUUUUGUCAUAAUUCUGCUCCUGAUCCGGAGCCUGUGUUUUAAACUUUUCAACGGCUUUUCAUUUAUUUCUUUGUGGAACUUUUAUUGAACUUUUUAUGUUUAUGUUGACUUUAGCCUUGUUAUCUUCUUAAGCUAUUGUUUUUAUUCAUGUGCCUCGUAAAUGCAGAAGCAUAUUUGUCUGACUUUCUUUCAGUUCGACUGUGGUUCAUUGUCCCCUUUGAAACAGAAUUACUUCAGACUGUUCUCUCCUCUCUGGCCCGAGUUUCCUCACAUGUGACAGAAAUACAGCGAAGGCUCCCGCCAAGCCAGAGUUUAUGACCUUUCACCAAACUCUAAAUUCUAUUAAAGACUCAAACAGCUGUGGAAACAA